rnacentral:rRNA from 1 species
GGGGAAUAUUGCACAAUGGGGGAAACCCUGAUGCAGCGACGCCGCGUGAGCGAAGAAGUAUUUCGGUAUGUAAAGCUCUAUCAGCAGGGAAGAAAGAAAUGACGGUACCUGACUAAGAAGCACCGGCUAACUAC